UGUUUUCAACUCCAUGAACGUUUUUACUUCAGCACUGACAUUUCCUCAGAGAGCUCAAAUGUUUUAUGUUGUUAUGCCCCUUUUAAUGUAAACAAACUCCAACCUACUUUGGUUCGUUGUGUGUGAACGGAACCACGAGUCCGCCUGGUGAGACCGGCUUCCCGGAUCACCAGUGUUGUGAUGCAGGAAAACCCCAAAGAAAGCCAGAAUGAGGUGAACUUGCAUCUUGAUUCAGGCCCCUGUUGUGUUAGUUCCUGUGGCCCCUUUAGGCUUUACACACACACACACACACACACACACACACACACACACACACACACACACACACACACACACACACACACACACACACACACACACACACACACACACACACACAGCAGCUCACUGUGGUAUGAACCUUCCAUGAGCAAUUCCCUCCCUCCUUUUUUUUCUUCUUUUCUCUUCCAGCCAACGGGUUUUUUUUAUUCUGACGCCUCUAUAGCUUUAAUACUUCUUUCUUCUUCUGUUGCCUGGCUCAGCGACACGAACACACUCCCCCUUACUGUAAACGCUGUUUGAGCAUGGAAACUGUUUCUCGAAAAGAAAAAAUGGAUUCCUGCCGCCUUAUGUGCCCUGCAGUAACCCCUCCCCCUCCCUCCUGCCCGCACUUCUCCCCCCGUCCCACCUCGUUCUCUCAAGGUGUGCCUCCCUCAACCCAACUUGAGUACCGAGAACGAACUUUGCAUCUCGUGCGAGUGACGUUUGUGCAUCUGCGAGUGUGUUUGUCAGCGACAGGAGAAAUUUUAAAAACCGACCUUCCUGUCCCUCUUCUGUGCAUCGAUGUGGGAACUUUUAAAUCCUAGUUCAUGAACUUUGACCUUUGACCAGGCACUCAUUCAGUCCCUUGUGAUGGUUGAGAAAGGGAGGUUACGUGGGGACUCGAGAGGAGCCCUACUGUCUACACACAGUCAAUGUUUUAUUUAUGGACCUCUGCACUUUUGGCUGUGAUGACUUCAGUACUUAAGUAGUUACCUGAACUGUAUUUUUAAGGAUUUUAUACAAUAUUUACAUGCAAUACGAUAUGAAUUGAUUUUUUUUUUUUUUUUUUGCCAACCUUUUUUUUAUGUCACCUUGUUUUGUUUUCUUAUUUAAUUGUCAUUAUUUUGGCAUGAUUUGUCACUAUUAUUCACAAAACAAACAUUGCUAGGUAUAAAACAUGGAUGGGGAUGUUCCCACAAUGUUUUGUUUUUUCUGAUGACAGCUGAACACCAAGAAGAAGCAGGUGUAGGAAAAUGUUUGCUGGAUGAGCUAAACUUGAGAACGAGUCAAUUUGUUUCAGGGAACUAAACUCUGCUUUUUUUCUGUAUCCUGUCCAGAGGGGAUUUGAGUCUUUGUUUUCUACUCUUUCAUAGACGUCUUUUCCCAAACAAAAAAUGGGCCCAACAUUUUAAGUUAUUUUAACUUCAGCCUGAAGAAAUGCAUCAUAGGAAACAAAGGAGUUGGCUGGAGCUGUUCUCAGCACUGCUGCUACCGGAAGUAAAAAGGCCAUUUCUUCCCACAUACAGUGUUGAAUUACUCAUAGUUCAAGCACUUUUGCAGCUUGAAUCUACUUGAAACGCUUCCGUUUUAAUCAUCAAGUCCAAAUGAUUUAAAUACCGCUUUAAACAAACAUUAGAAUUACAACUCUGCGAGGCGAGAAACUUCCAAUCAUAAAGUUCUAUCCUAUGUGGCUAAACACGGGCAGAAACUCAUGCUGUUGGGACUGCUGAUUGUAUAAUCUCUUCAAUCGGUUCUUUUUUGGGUCCCUUUAGGAGCAAUUCUGCCAAUGUGAUGCUGCGUUCUGUAAAAAUGAAAACUGGCCACCUAUUUAACGGGGAACUUGAAUGAGUGUUGAUGGUACAUGUAAUCCGUUUGUUUUGUAUUGUUCCAGAAUGCGGAUCCCUUCCGGCGGGGUGCCGUGCCGGCUGUGCCUACGUGUACCAAUCGGUCUUCGCUCAUCGCACACUCCAAAAACUUAAAAACUCACCAGAUCCACGUUCGUCCGAACAGUGUUCCAACAAUCAUCAACGCUCAUCGAAAACAAAUCCUCAAGCCACAGAAUAAGAUCUCCGUUCUCUCCAACGACGUCACUGUCACAUCACUGGAUGCAGGAACAACACAUUUUUCAAAGAGAACAUCGGCAAGAGCUGCAGGCCUUUUUUUAUUUUUUGUUGAAUUUUUUAUUUUUUAACUCCACUGUGCCUCGAUGUGGCUCCUUCUCCAUUGCAACGACUGCUGAGGCUUAUGGGUAUUGUAGUACUCCCAGCCGCCUGCCAACCAAAAUGACAGAUAAAACACAAUUUCUCAUAAACCUGGGUUGAUAAGUUAGAAACUGGGGGCCCUAAUGUAAACCACUGUAACGGUUACGUUUUCUGUACGGGGCCCUUUUGUAAUCUAAUGUGGAGCAACAUUGAACACCGGAAAAAAAAGUGCAAAUGGGUGUAAGGAUUGCAGAGGAAUCCCCCCUGUCCCAUUUACUUUGCAACCCGUUGCUGCUUUGUUGUGUGAAACAUUUCAGCUGAGACUAUAUUAUAUAUAAUAUGUGUAUAAUACAGCAAAGGUAGAAUAUCUACUGUGUGGAUCUUUAGAGGAUGAGGAAAAAAAGCUAAAACAAAGCAGGUGGUUGCAAAUAUGUGUUGGGGGGGUGCGUGCAGACGGGAUGUAUCCUGUGUCAGUGGUCGUCAUAAUGUGUCUGUGACAAGGAUACAGGGAUGCCUGUAUUUAAAAAGGUUUGAUUCUUUUUUUUUGAAAAUGCGGGAGAAAUGUCUGAAAUGUGUUUUCUUAUAUGUGGUCCAAGAAGAACAAACUGGAUGUGCUGAACAAUUUGGUAUUUUUUGAAGAAAAGAAAACUUUGCAUUACAAUGCCACCAUGUGGCCAUAAUGAUGCAAGUUUUUAACGAGGACAAAACAUUGUUAUUUUACUGUUUAUUUUUUAUUUCUAAAUCAUAUUAUUAAUAAAGUCAUUAAGUACUGUUGUCCACGCGUGUGUCCAACCAUCAUUGACCGUUGUGUGACCCGGUCACGGGUGUCCGUAAAGGGUUCACGUAGAGUUCAUGUGAUGGUCAAUGCAGUCCGCGGGGUUAAAAGGACACGCAGCGGGCCGGCCAAUAACGCUCACGAUCCAUUCACCAUUUAUGGAGGAAAUGUCACAAGUGGAGGAACAUUUAUUGGCGACGCCUGAUCAAUAAAUUGUACUCUGACACCGCUCCACACUGAGGAAACCUAAUGUGGGUUUUGGUUGGGUUUUUUUAUGUCUCUGGGUGUGAAACACCGCUGUGGGAAAAUGUUACAAAUGUAUCACUAAGAUUCGUGUAUGGCAGCACUGGAUAUUUACCUGAUCUUUGGGGUUGUGAUGAAAUAUAUUUGUCACGUAUUUCCAUUUGGAGAAUAAACCAAAAACAGCCACAUUCUCAUUAAACUUCAGAAAGUCAAAAAUAUUGUGUUCGGUAAACUGAAUAGCUGAUAAAAGUAUUUACAGCGGUUUUGAUAUACUAUUCCAUAAGAUAUCACAUGCCUUUAAAAAUAGAAAACUUGAAUAAUAAAAUAUAUUAUUUGA
ensembl:lncRNA